rnacentral:rRNA from 1 species
GGGUAAGUAGGUUGGUCGUGCCACCGGUACGUACUGGUCUCACUGUUUCCUCCUUCUUGAAGAACCGUAAUGCCAUUAAUUUGGUGUUGCGGGGAAACAGGACUGUUACUUUGAAAAAAUUAGAGUGUUUAAAGCAAGCUAACGCUUGAAUACAUCAGCAUGGAAUAAUGAAAUAGGACGAUCGAUCCUAUUUUGUUGGUUUCUAGGAUUGACGUA